rnacentral:rRNA from 1 species
ACUCCUACGGGAGGCAGCAGUGGGGAAUAUUGCACAAUGGGCGCAAGCCUGAUCCAGCCAUGCCGCGUGUGUGAAGAAGGCCUUCGGGUUGUAAAAGCACUUUCAGUGGGGAGGAAAGGUUGUUGGUUAAUACCUAGCAGCUGUGACGUUACCCACAGAAGAAGCACCGGCUAACUCCGUGCCAGCAGCCGCGGUAAUACGGAGGGUGCAAGCGUUAAUCGGAAUUACUGGGCGUAAAGCGUGCGCAGGCGGUCUGUUAAGCGAGAUGUGAAAGCCCCGGGCUCAACCUGGGAAGCUGCAUUUCGAACUGGCAGACUGAGAGUCUUGUAGAGGGGGUGAGAAUUCCAGGUGUAGCGGUGAAAUGCGUAGAGAUCUGGAGGAAUACCGGUGGCGAAGGCGGCCCCUCGGACAAAGACUGACGCUCAGGCACGAAAGCGU